AACAGCAAGAGAGAAGUGAGAGACGAGAAAGCACAAAACUACGGGAGAGAUAAAAUGUAGAGUUAGUAACAUGCAUUAAUGAGCUAAUCAUUCUGAAAAUUCUGCUCUAUGGUGGUGGAAAUUCACUGGAAAUUAAAAAAAAUAACAAUUGCUGUCUAUGUCCCGGUCCAUCCAUACAGCCAAAAUAAUUUGAGGCAGACUGCAGGUUAAUGAACCAAACUGGCAUCUUCUGGGGUCCCAUUCUGAAAGACCUGACCAAAUUAUUAUUAUUAUCCAUUUUCUAUGGUAAUGGAUAGUGCCACACUUAAUCUACAGUAUUUCAUUGCUAACCAGGAUAUCAUCAGUUUUUCUGCUCUGCUUUGGUGUGAAACGGCAGUUAUUAUCACUCCUCUCAAACUGUUUUGUACCUGUCAUUGGAACAAACUCAUAAUAAAAUCAUAACUAAAUAUUCGAAAUAAAUGUGUUUGCAGAAAUUAAGUAAUUCAGUCGUGUCCAGUGAAAACCAUCUAUCGCAAAAUUGGUGAUUUUAAUUUUUUUUGGAUAAACUGAAGGAUUAAGUCUUCCUUUAUGGGUUGAGAAAGUUCUCAGACUUUUUAAAAGAGUACUCUGCCGAUUUAGCAUUGCUCUCCUAUAACAUUGUUGGACUCAAGAUGGACAGUUUAAAACAAGAAGAGUCAAAAUGGAUGCAGCAGAACCAGAGAUAUCAUCUUUUAUUCCACAAAUUCUUCUUCCAUGUCAAAACCUGGCGCCUACAUUAUCCACAAUGCAAUUCGACCGCCAACAGUUUGGUCAGAGAUUUGGGUGUGUUAUGUACCAGCUAAUGUAGCCUCGAACCGCUAGCCUAGAGCAGAUAUGAGGAGCGGGCUACAGAGGUCUGGUAAGAUCACUUCUUUCUAACUCCAGACCCCAAGAUUUUUUACAUUUUCAAACUUGUAGUCUUCAGCCCCAACCAACGCUGACUCAAGUGACAUCACUUGAGACAAUUUAUCAGUUUUCUUGCAGCUCCCUCUGGAGCCACAAAUGGUUUUAUACAACUUCUGUCACAUACUAAGCAGUAGUACUGCCCAACACCUGUAAACAGACUUUGACUUAUAAAAUCGGUGGAGUUCCCCUUUAAGAUAAAUAAACCAUUUAAAAAGCUAAUGAAAAGUUGAUGUUUGGAGAUACAUCGUUUUCACAGGACAGCAAAGUCUUAUUAAUGAACAGCUUUAAUAACACUUGAUGUUAAUUUAAUUUUUACACCACUCGUCUAAAACCAGACAGGGUUUCAUGUACUGUAUGACUAAAUCCAGAGGCUCAAUACAUGAGGGGAGAUCACUUCAAAAUGAUUUAUGAUUAUAAGAGGUAAAAACUCAUCAUGAUUCAAUGAUUAAAAAAAGCCUCGAUGAAAAUUUAUUUCUAUAAUUAACCUCUUGUCUGCCAUUAGCCAGUGUCAUGAAUUCUUCUGCGGAAGUCUCUCAACAUGAUAUUAAACAUGCUAACAAGCACCAACAGAGAGAGUAGCUGGGGAAAUGCCUCAGAUGAGAAGAAUAAAAGCAAAAAAUAUUCUUGUGGUAGAAGAAUUGUUGAAACUGUAUUGGCACACAAAGCUGUGGGUUUAAAUGUGGGUUCACGCUGUACUCCUUCAAUACCCGAGGCAUAAAUAUGCUAAAGGGUAGUGAUCUCUGUUUAUAGUCUUUUGAUCUCUAAGAUGUCUCCUUCUGCUUGCUUUUCACCACAGGAAGGUCAGAUCACAAAGCUACAGCUACAGCACAACAGAACUGGUGCAGAUGGGUAGUCAGUGUCUUCCCGAUUACACUUGAGUGCUGCAAGAUGUUUGUGUUUGCCUUUCCAGCCUGAAAAGAAGUCUAUCAAGUCAUUACACAACCUUGAGGAACAUGCAAGAAAAUGUCAAGAGCUUUUGAGUGAGUUGUCAUGGAGAUGGAUUAGUUUAUGUCAACUGAAGAACUGCAUCCACCGGAGACAGCCAUGAGAUAUGGUUGAAACACAAAGUAAGAGGACCUUGUGUUGAGUGUUUUAUAGCCAAGCUGCUAUUUUCAAGUAUGAACAUUCAAGCUCAGCAUUGUUAUAUGGAUGUUGUGUAUUUUUCUCCAUGUUCCAGUGCUGUAUUCUAUAAACCAGAGAGGCUUUUACCAUUUUGAUGUUCCUUGUAAUGUUUUCAUGGGAGUUUUUCAUUAUCACCACAGAGGGUCUAUGUAGAGUGAUUUUCACUUCAUAGAAACACAUUUCUGACCUGCUAAGAGUACCUCUGUCGCUUUAGCAGAAUUUGCCUAGUGUUUCCUUUGUCUUAGUUGUAAGUUAGCUGUCCGUGUGUGUGAGCAGCCUAGGAAGUAAUUGAUACAAUUAUCUCUAUCUCAUAAUGUGGGCAUUGUGAGGCCCACUGAGACUAUUAUUGAGGGCUAUGAACUUGACUAAUAGCAUGCUUCUCCCGGCUUCUACAACCACCCUAUUUCAACAAAUUCUAGUUCUCCAUGUUUAAAUUUCUAUAUAAUCUAUAUUUGUAAGUGAAACAUAUAAAAUAAUCCUGCCCAAACCAUUAUGUUUACAUGAGUGUGAUCUUUGUCUUUUAGUUUUCAAUCAGUAUUGUAGAAAGACAACCUUUUAGAAUAAGCAGUGACUGUUUCAAACGAGUUUUGAUGCUGGAGUUAGAAAACCAAAGCAGCUGAGUAUCACUACAUAAUAAUGUCAAUAAUUACAGUCGAUAUAAAACUGUGCAGCACACUUACAAGUCAAAAAAGUUUGACAAACUGUACUUGGAUUCAAUGAAUUUCCAAAUUACCAUGGGUUGUCUGAUUUGUUAUGUCUCCACCUAUGACUAAUGUUAUUUUGCAGGUUGCAUUUCACAUUUUGAGCCAAAAUAAAUGGUAUCUGAAAGAAAGUAGAAAAAAAAGUAGCUUUUAAAGAGAAAGUGUCAUAUAAAACGAACGGUGGUCUAUUUAGAAAAAAAAUGUUGACUGUCAAACCAAAGGUGAGACGUAUUCACUUGUUUUUAACCAAAUCCCAUUUUAAUUAUACCAGUGCAGCAUGCUUCCUUAUGCCUUGUUUCAAGACACUUGGCAGCCACACUUAUCUAUCAAAGCCCUGACAGAAGUUGUUGAGCACAAAAGGGAGGAAACACCGAUGCAAAAGAAGCUGUUUAUAGUGCUACUUCAUCUAUAUGCUCUUAUUGUUUCAUGCAACAAAAUUAAUCUAAAUAUAAAAUAUUACAAUCCAUUGUCAUCACAGGAAUUUUUCAUUUGAUUGUUAUUUCUAUAAUUACAGACUAUAAAAACCAACAGAAAAUUAAGCAGACUACAAUAAUUAGUCUCUUUCCACGUUAUUGUGCUGCUGAUAUUCCUGAAACAAAUUUUUAGCAAAGUCUAUGGUCAAAUGGCAAUCUCUUAAUGCAGAAAAAAAUCUGACACUUACACAUGGACAUUUCCCUAUUAGUGUGGGCACCACUUCAAGCUUGCCUCUGGGUAAUUCCUGCAUCAGGCGAAAUGAGUGACUCCAUUGGAAGAAUCUUUUUGUUAUACGGGGGAAAAAAGAUUUUAAGCUCAAGAAGGAUGGUAACACUGCUGCCAUUUUGUCUUCGAGGCAGAGCUUAAUGAGAGCUGGGAAGGUAAGUUCAUGCAGAACACUCAGUCCUGAGGGUAAAUGUGCCUCUGCUACUCUGCCUUCUUGAAAGAACUAAUGACCCUCACCAUGAUAUUCAGAUUGGUUAUCUUUUCUUAGGAGAUUUGGAUGGCUACUUAAGGCUGUCACAGCUGUACUGGGCAUUUGGAAUAUGAGCAAAUGGGGGGGUCAUAAUUAGCAAACAUUUAUGAGAUUUAAAAAGUUUCACCUUUCAUCCCCUUCAACAUUACCACCCAGACAAAGACAAAUAAGGUGACUGUUAUUUCUAGUGAAAGGGUAUAUCUCUGUGGAUCUUUCACAGAGGCGCUGUGUGUAUGGAAUUGGUGAUAUCACUGCCUGCUUCACUGCUUCCCAAAUCGAGGCAGGGAUCAGAUGCCACUCAUUCCUCUCCAGUGGUUCAAAGAAGAAUAACAUCCCUGCUAAUUAAGCCCGAGACAAACAGCAUCAAUGUAUAGGAAAGAAGUAAGGAUGCAAUGGGAUCCGAGGUGUGUGGUAUAAGCAUACCACAUUGAUAUGAGUCAAGUGAUGUCGGUCAGUGUGUGCCUGCUUUGUCUGAAGGGAGAUAACAGAGUCAGAAGUUCCAUGUUUCUGACUCUGUUCAUCUCCAGGCGAGCGGUUUCCUGCUCACUCUCCCAUGCACGUAUACAUAAACACCACCACCACACCACCACCACUUCUUAAGUGUUUACACUCUCGCUUGCUUUGACCUGGGGUUUCCACAAGCAUCGGGUUGACUGAAUUAAACUGACCCCGGUUACUUUUCUUUCAGAGAAAACAAUCAAUUUGAAAGCUACAGAUGUGUUGCACGCUUCAAAAUUGCAAAUGACAGAUGAAUUCCAUGUGUCUGAGCUCCUCAUCUGAGUUGGCCAAAAAAUAACCCAAAUAUGAGGGGAAAUUUGAAGAUGGAGGUGAUAGGUUAGCAAACAGACAGACAACCAGCUAUUUGGUGGGGGGAAAAAGUGCACUUUUAUGCAUUUCUGGAGAUCAUUUAUGCAGCUACUAAUUCAAUAGUUACACCACAGUGACAAAGUCAAAAAGUUUAGCUCUGCACAGUGUACAAAAAUUUCAACGUCUAUAUGUGACUACAUGGGCAGCUAACAUUGGAAGAUAAAUCUAUGUAACCCAAAAAGUGUUCAUGUGCAAAUCUACCGAAUGCCUCUGCAAGUUUAUUUCAGUUUAAAGUGCACAUUACACUGGACCUUAAAACAUGUAAUAACUAUUUUCUUAAACGCUUCUUUAAGUAAAAAAUAAAAAAAUAAAAAACAUAAUAUGGAUGAAAAAUUACAAGCAGCAAUACUCGACAACUCGAUAUUGACACUGGCUACAAGUAGAAAUCAUAUGUCUGCUUAUGUCUACUUUUAAACAAAAAUUGCAUCAAAUUUUGAUUAUAGUCAUAGUCCUCUUACUUCUGAAGUAACCUGAUGAAAUUCUGGGAGAGACAGCUCAUCAUGGAUCACAAGACUACAAAAUAUGUUAAAAUACUGAUUUAUUCAUACCAUAACACAGUAAGUAAACAGUGCAACUUCAGAAAAUCCCAUGAAAUGGUGGACAGGAAUGUGCAUAAAAAUAAUUUCUUGAUAUACUUGAAAGUCAGUCAAAAUUGGUAUUGAUUUGGUGGGCGAGAGAUCUUUCUCUGUCUCCUUCCCCGUCCUCCAUCUCUCCUUACGUUUUACGCCGUCGUUUUCCGAGGACGGGCGACGUAGCUGCAUCGUCUCCUCUCAAGCUGGAUGC